GCACUCCUGUGGGGACUGUGCUCUUGAACCUGUGGGAUCUGUGCUAACCAGCCAGUUAGUGUUUGAGCUGAAGGGCAGCACCCCCGCUGGCGUUUGUAACACGGAACUGGAUGAAGAACUCACCCUUCUCUCUGUGGCCUGCGUCAGUUUCUGGGCGACCUCCUGCACUUCCUGCCCUAAGGAUUUCCUCCUAAACCACCAGAUUCUCUUUCUUCCUUGGAUGUCCUUGGCCCCAGUUCCACUCCCCACAACCUAGCUGGUGGGCUCUGGGUUCCUGCUCCACCACUGCCUUCUUUCCUACCAGAAAACAUCUUUAUGGAAUUAAAGCCAACCUCGGGCAUCCUCCCCCACUCAGUUAGGACCACAUUGUCUCAGAAUUAGGAUCUCCACUGGCUGCAGGGUCCCUCCACAUGGCUCUCUGGCUCUGGGGCCCCACACUGCUCCCUCCCCUCACUCCGCAGGCCCGUCACUAGUCCUGGACACUGCACUGUCCCUUGGGAUUUCCCUUCACACUGCUGUGCCUCUGUAAAUAAUCCUUUAAUUAAAUUCCCCUCAAACUACCCAA